AUUGAACGCUGGCGGCAGGCCUAACACAUGCAAGUCGAGCGGCAGCGGAAAGUAGCUUGCUACUUUGCCGGCGAGCGGCGGACGGGUGAGUAAUGUCUGGGAAACUGCCUGAUGGAGGGGGAUAACUACUGGAAACGGUAGCUAAUACCGCAUAACGUCGCAAGACCAAAGAGGGGGACCUUCGGGCCUCUUGCCAUCAGAUGUGCCCAGAUGGGAUUAGCGAGUAGGUGGGGUAACGGCUCACCUAGGCGACGAUCCCUAGCUGGUCUGAGAGGAUGACCAGCCACACUGGAACUGAGACACGGUCCAGACUCCUACGGGAGGCAGCAGUGGGGAAUAUUGCACAAUGGGCGCAAGCCUGAUGCAGCCAUGCCGCGUGUAUGAAGAAGGCCUUCGGGUUGUAAAGUACUUUCAGCGGGGAGGAAGGUGUUGAGGUUAAUAACCUCAGCAAUUGACGUUACCCGCAGAAGAAGCACCGGCUAACUCCGUGCCAGCCGCCGCCGUAA
rnacentral:rRNA from 1 species